rnacentral:rRNA from 1 species
AUACAUGCAAGUCGAGCGGACAGAUGGGAGCUUGCUCCCUGAUGUCAGCGGCGGACGGGUGAGUAACACGUGGGUAACCUGCCUGUAAGACUGGGAUAACUCCGGGAAACCGGGGCUAAUACCGGAUGCUUGAUUGAACCGCAUGGUUCAAUUAUAAAAGGUGGCUUUUAGCUACCACUUACAGAUGGACCCGCGGCGCAUUAGCUAGUUGGUGAGGUAACGGCUCACCAAGGCAACGAUGCGUAGCCGACCUGAAAGGGUGAUCGGCCACACUGGGACUGAAACACGGCCCAAACUCCUACGGGAGGCAGCAGUAGGGAAUCUUCCGCAAUGGACGAAAGUCUGACGGAGCAACGCCGCGUGAGUGAUGAAGGUUUUCGGAUCGUAAAACUCUGUUGUUAGGGAAAAACAA